GCUACAGGCUUAACACAUGCAAGUCGAGGGGCAGCAUGGUCUUAGCUUGCUAAGGCCGAUGGCGACCGGCGCACGGGUGAGUAACACGUAUCCAACCUGCCGUCUACUCUUGGACAGCCUUCUGAAAGGAAGAUUAAUACAAGAUGGCAUCAUGAGUCCGCAUGUUCACAUGAUUAAAGGUAUUCCGGUAGACGAUGGGGAUGCGUUCCAUUAGAUAGUAGGCGGGGUAACGGCCCACCUAGUCUUCGAUGGAUAGGGGUUCUGAGAGGAAGGUCCCCCACAUUGGAACUGAGACACGGUCCAAACUCCUACGGGAGGCAGCAGUGAGGAAUAUUGGUCAAUGGGCGAGAGCCUGAACCAGCCAAGUAGCGUGAAGGAUGACUGCCCUAUGGGUUGUAAACUUCUUUUAUAAAGGAAUAAAGUCGGGUAUGCAUACCCGUUUGCAUGUACUUUAUGAAUAAGGAUCGGCUAACUCCGUGCCAGCAGCCGCGGUAAUACGGAGGAUCCGAGCGUUAUCCGGAUUUAUUGGGUUUAAAGGGAGCGUAGAUGGAUGUUUAAGUCAGUUGUGAAAGUUUGCGGCUCAACCGUAAAAUUGCAGUUGAUACUGGAUAUCUUGAGUGCAGUUGAGGCAGGCGGAAUUCGUGGUGUAGCGGUGAAAUGCUUAGAUAUCACGAAGAACUCCGAUUGCGAAGGCAGCCUGCUAAGCUGCAACUGACAUUGAGGCUCGAAAGUGUGGGUAUCAAACAGGAUUAGAUACCCUGGUAGUCCACACGGUAAACGAUGAAUACUCGCUGUUUGCGAUAUACAGCAAGCGGCCAAGCGAAAGCGUUAAGUAUUCCACCUGGGGAGUACGCCGGCAACGGUGAAACUCAAAGGAAUUGACGGGGGCCCGCACAAGCGGAGGAACAUGUGGUUUAAUUCGAUGAUACGCGAGGAACCUUACCCGGGCUUAAAUUGCAGAUGAAUUACGGUGAAAGCCGUAAGCCGCAAGGCAUCUGUGAAGGUGCUGCAUGGUUGUCGUCAGCUCGUGCCGUGAGGUGUCGGCUUAAGUGCCAUAACGAGCGCAACCCUUGUUGUCAGUUACUAACAGGUUCCGCUGAGGACUCUAACAAGACUGCCAUCGUAAGAUGUGAGGAAGGUGGGGAUGACGUCAAAUCAGCACGGCCCUUACGUCCGGGGCUACACACGUGUUACAAUGGGGGGUACAGAGGGCCGCUACCACGCGAGUGGAUGCCAAUCCCAAAAACCUCUCUCAGUUCGGACUGGAGUCUGCAACCCGACUCCACGAAGCUGGAUUCGCUAGUAAUCGCGCAUCAGCCACGGCGCGGUGAAUACGUUCCCGGGCCUUGUACACACCGCCCGUCAAGCCAUGGGAGCCGGGGGUACCUGAAGUGCGUAACCGCGAGGAGCGCCCUAGGGUAAAACUGGUGACUGGGGCUAAGUCAUAACA
rnacentral:rRNA from 1 species